rnacentral:rRNA from 1 species
GAGUUUGAUUCUGGCUCAGGGUGAACGCUGGCGGCGUGCGUAACACAUGCAAGUCGAGCGGGUACCCGCAAGGGUACGAGCGGCGCACGGGUGAGUAACACGUGGGUAAUCUACCCCUCGGAGGGGGAUAACCGGGGGAAACCCCGGCUAAUACCCCAUACGAUCCGGCAACGAAGGUUGCUGGAUGAAAGGGGCGUUUGCUCCGCCGAGGGAUGAGCCCGCGGCCCAUCAGGUAGUUGGUGGGGUAAUGGCCCACCAAGCCUACGACGGGUAGCCGGCCUGAGAGGGUGGUCGGCCACAAGGGCACUGAGACACGGGCCCUACUCCUACGGGAGGCAGCAGUGGGGAAUCUUGGACAAUGGGCGAAAGCCUGAUCCAGCGACGCCGCGUGGGGGAUGAAGCCCUUCGGGGUGUAAACCCCUGUUGCGAGGGAGGAAUAAGGCCUGGAGGAAAUGCCAGGCCGAUGACUGUACCUCGCGAGGAAGCCCCGGCUAACUACGUGCCAGCAGCCGCGGUAAUACGUAGGGGGCGAGCGUUACCCGGAUUCACUGGGCGUAAAGCGGGUGUAGGCGGCUCGGUAAGUCGGGUGUGAAAUCCCACAGCUCAACUGUGGAAUUGCGCCCGAAACUGCUGAGCUUGGGGCCGGUAGAGGGAGACGGAACUGCCGGUGUAGGGGUGAAAUCCGUAGAUAUCGGCAGGAACGCCGGUGGGGAAGCCGGUCUCCUGGGCCGCGCCCGACGCUGAGACCCGAAAGCUAGGGGAGCAAACCGGAUUAGAUACCCUGGUAGUC